rnacentral:rRNA from 1 species
UACGGAGGGUUCAAGCGUUAUCCGGAUUCACUGGGUUUAAAGGGUGCGUAGGUGGGUUGGUAAGUCAGUGGUGAAAUCUCCAGGCUUAACUUGGAAACUGCCAUUGAUACUAUCAAUCUUGAAUACCGUGGAGGUCAGCGGAAUAUGUCAUGUAGCGGUGAAAUGCUUAGAUAUGACAUAGAACACCAACUGCGAAGGCAGCUGGCUAGGCGGAUAUUGACACUGAUGCACGAAAGCGUGGGGAGCAAACAGG